AUGAUGCGGGUCCCAGCGCUGCUUCUGGUUUUCCUGGCUCCUGUCAUGCAGGUGUCUUCCAACAUGGAAGGGGAGAAGAUGUCAAUUACUAAGGCAGCUGUGCCUGGGGCAUUUGUUGAAAUCAUUUGUGAUCUUAUCACCCAAACCGUCAAAUAUAUCCACUGGUACAAGUACCAGGAGGGCACAGCUCCCCGACGCCUUCUUUACUACGACAUCUCCUACUCAAAGAUUGUGUUGGAAUCAGGAGUCAGUGAAGGGAAGUACAAAGUUUAUAAAGAGAAGAGCUAUACUUUUGCAAUCUCAAACCUGCAAGAAAGUGAUUCUGGAAUGUACUACUGUGCUGUCUGGGAGAAGCACGUUGGUUUAGACUUCCUUUACACUGCACUGGAAAUUUUGCUUGUCACGGCCCAGCACAGCCAUGGUAUACAGUAUAGACCAGCCCUUGCCACACUUACUCCCCCAAUUCUCUUUACUCUGAAGGAAGAGAAAUCCUGA